rnacentral:rRNA from 1 species
GUGAACGAGCGACGCCGCGUGCGGGAUGAAGGCCUUCGGGUUGUAAACUGCUGUUGCGCGCAAGGAACACCCGAGAGUUAACAGCUCUCGGGAUGACUAUCGCGUGAGGAAGCACAGGCUAACUCCGUGCCAGCAGCCGCGGUAAUACGGAGUGUGCAAGCGUUACUCGGAAUCACUGGGCAUAAAGAGCACGUAGGCGGAAAAGCAUGUCCGGGGUGAAAUCCCCCAGCUCAACUGGGGAACUGCUUCGGAAACUGCCUUUCUUGAGGACGAGAGGGGAGAGUGGAACUUCUGGUGGAGCGGUGAAAUGCGUAGAUAUCAGAAGGAACACCGGUGGCGAAAGCGACUCUCUGGCUCGUAACUGACGCUGAGGUGCGAAAGCUUGGGUAGCAAACAGGAUUAGAUACCCUGGUAGUCCAAGCCGUAAACGAU